rnacentral:misc_RNA from 1 species
CAAUGUCAGACCUCUUCGAGAUUCACUAGGUCACACUCCUCUCCAGGUCUGUGACAGUGGCACUUACAUUGUUCUAUAUGUGCACAACUGAAGUCAAAUCAUCUUUUCUCCCACAAUUAAGUAGAUUAGGUCAUAUUCUACUGAAAGGAGGAUUAUUUCUGUGGGAUGAUGAAUCCUCAAUGGGACAGACCACCUUUAGUGAUCUAAAUGGCAAUUCUAGCAGUGCGUCUAUAGAUGUUGAUUGUACCUGGCCUGUUGUCAUUUUACUUUAGUUAGUGGUCCUAAAUCCUAGGUCAAGCAACAAUGACUUCUUGCCUUCUUGGCUUUCAAUUGGCAGUUGACAUUUCUAGAUGUUUUUUCUAUUCAGUUGGUACUUUUAGAAUUGGCAUUGUGGUAGGAUCCGACGGGGCUAGCUUAUUAUGUCUUACAUUUAACCAAAUGAGAUUGCACUUCUAUUAAUACAUAAAUAUAGCAAAAAAUCCAUGAAACAAUGCUAAACAGUUCAGUGGAAAGUCCGAGUGCACUGUUUUGAAAAUUGAAGCACUUGAACAGCGUUUCCUGAGAUGGCCAACUUUUUGAAAAUAUAAAGAUAGGAUUGCUGGCUUUGAGUCAGGUAAUUUUUAUAGCCCAUUUUUAAGCUUUGCUUGUGUUUCACUUUCGUCCUUUGACUUCAAUUUGUUACUAAAAUAUUCAUGAACUUUAAUUUUAUUUCACAAAAAUCCCUCUAGCCUUCUAUAGCAGGUUUUCAGAUUAAAAAAAUAAUGAAAUUACUUUCUAAUCUCAUUUCCUCUCAUACUCAAAAUACACCAGCCAUUUCAACCACAAUUUGGACUCAUCACAAAAUAUCAAUACCAUCACAAUAAUCCGUUUCUUGGAAAGAAGGGGAUUUACUCUUCACUAGAAAGUGUUGAAACUACAUUUGUAGACAUUACACUAUAGCUUGGAAGGAUUUUUUAAUCUGGAAAUUUAUUAUUGCAGGUUAAGAGGGAUUUUUUUGUGAAACAAAAUUAAAAUUUAAGAUUUUUUAGGAAAAAAUCGAAGAAAAGGGACAGAAGUGAAAUAUGGAGUAAAUUUUAGGGACAAACUACAAAAAUUACCCCAAUAGUUUGAUAUAUAACAGAUGACUUUUGUGUUUUGGUCAUAGUCAUUGGAAUUGUUUUUCAAUUUGUCAUCUUUUGCACAAUAUACGGGAAUAAUGGUAUAUUUGUACUUUGAUUUUGUGGAGCCAUUGCUUUCCGCAUGUUGUACUUAGAAAAAGUCUUUGAACCAAGCAUCUCUUUAUCUUCAAUUCAAUUUAAAUAUGUGGCAAUGUAUUCAGCCCGUUUGUGUUACCCACCAAAGUGGUAUUGUUGUGGCCAGUUGGAAAUUCAUUUCAUUUAGCAUUUGGCUUGGAAAGACCAGUUGUUAGCUCAAAUGUCACAAAUAUUCUGUGACUUGGUUUUUUUGUGUAGCGGGUCUGGUAAGAAUAAACUGAUUGCAAACUAGGUAUCAAUUACUGUUCUUCUAAAACAACCUAUGUGUUAAUUGGAGGAGUUUCACUGUCAUCUAAAAUUAAGCUAUUUUUACAUUUGCAAUUUACAUAAUUGAAGGUGAAAGCAGUUUUUCUGGAAUUAUGUAGGUGUUACACUGUGGCUUUACUUGA